ACGAACGCUGGCGGCGUGCCUAAUACAUGCAAGUCGAACGAACUCUGGUAUUGAUUGGUGCUUGCAUCAUGAUUUACAUUUGAGUGAGUGGCGAACUGGUGAGUAACACGUGGGAAACCUGCCCAGAAGCGGGGGAUAACACCUGGAAACAGAUGCUAAUACCGCAUAACAACUUGGACCGCAUGGUCCGAGCUUGAAAGAUGGCUUCGGCUAUCACUUUUGGAUGGUCCCGCGGCGUAUUAGCUAGAUGGUGGGGUAACGGCUCACCAUGGCAAUGAUACGUAGCCGACCUGAGAGGGUAAUCGGCCACAUUGGGACUGAGACACGGCCCAAACUCCUACGGGAGGCAGCAGUAGGGAAUCUUCCACAAUGGACGAAAGUCUGAUGGAGCAACGCCGCGUGAGUGAAGAAGGGUUUCGGCUCGUAAAACUCUGUUGUUAAAGAAGAACAUAUCUGAGAGUAACUGUUCAGGUAUUGACGGUAUUUAACCAGAAAGCCACGGCUAACUACGUGCCAGCAGCCGCGGUAAUACGUAGGUGGCAAGCGUUGUCCGGAUUUAUUGGGCGUAAAGCGAGCGCAGGCGGUUUUUUAAGUCUGAUGUGAAAGCCUUCGGCUCAACCGAAGAAGUGCAUCGGAAACUGGGAAACUUGAGUGCAGAAGAGGACAGUGGAACUCCAUGUGUAGCGGUGAAAUGCGUAGAUAUAUGGAAGAACACCAGUGGCGAAGGCGGCUGUCUGGUCUGUAACUGACGCUGAGGCUCGAAAGUAUGGGUAGCAAACAGGAUUAGAUACCCUGGUAGUCCAUACCGUAAACGAUGAAUGCUAAGUGUUGGAGGGUUUCCGCCCUUCAGUGCUGCAGCUAACGCAUUAAGCAUUCCGCCUGGGGAGUACGGCCGCAAGGCUGAAACUCAAAGGAAUUGACGGGGGCCCGCACAAGCGGUGGAGCAUGUGGUUUAAUUCGAAGCUACGCGAAGAACCUUACCAGGUCUUGACAUACUAUGCAAAUCUAAGAGAUUAGACGUUCCCUUCGGGGACAUGGAUACAGGUGGUGCAUGGUUGUCGUCAGCUCGUGUCGUGAGAUGUUGGGUUAAGUCCCGCAACGAGCGCAACCCUUAUUAUCAGUUGCCAGCAUUAAGUUGGGCACUCUGGUGAGACUGCCGGUGACAAACCGGAGGAAGGUGGGGAUGACGUCAAAUCAUCAUGCCCCUUAUGACCUGGGCUACACACGUGCUACAAUGGAUGGUACAACGAGUUGCGAACUCGCGAGAGUAAGCUAAUCUCUUAAAGCCAUUCUCAGUUCGGAUUGUAGGCUGCAACUCGCCUACAUGAAGUCGGAAUCGCUAGUAAUCGCGGAUCAGCAUGCCGCGGUGAAUACGUUCCCGGGCCUUGUACACACCGCCCGUCACACCAUGAGAGUUUGUAACACCCAAAGUCGGUGGGGUAACCUUUUAGGAACCAGCCGCCUAAGGUGGGAC
rnacentral:rRNA from 1 species